AUAUACUAUAUAUGUAAAUGAAAUAGUUUCGUUGAUAAAAUGAAUAUAUAUUUUAAUUUUAUGAUAAUAUAAUAUAAUGUAACGAACUAUACGUAUACGCGCCACGCAAAAGGGAGUAGAGCGCGGUGGCAGAGAGGGAGCAUAACGGCAUAAGAGAACGUCAUGCCGUUUCCGGUCACGGCAUACAAGUUGGUUUUACCCCCAAGGCGUGCCUAUUGGCGUAAUGUUUCACAUUAAAAAAUGAUUAUAAGAAUUUUACGAAUAAAAAAUCUUAUUUCAAUAUAUUCACACAUAUUUCAUCCAAUUGAGGGUGUUUCAAGAUGAAAUCACAGAUAUCGAGAUUGUUAAGUCAGCGGGAAAAGGGCAAAUCUAAGAGUUUUUCAAGGCGGAAAUACGUUGAAAAUAUCAAAUACUGUCAUUCAUUACAGCCUGUUUAAAUAUUCAAGAGGAUGUUUCACCGCAUACGAUUUACGACUUCACGGGGAAUAGAGUCUUGUAUCGGACAUGUCUGGAUCAAACGACCUUAAAAUAUAUCUGAAGUUCCGUAUGAGCUUACGAGUGCCUACAAUUCUACACACACAUGUAAUAAAGCUGUAUCAGUGUGCUCGUACAUGAAGUAGCUAUAAAGAUUUUGUGGUAAGACUUUAUACGAGUCUGUCUUGUAAUGUUAUACGAAUAAUAAUAAUGGGUAAUAUAAACAAUACAAAAUACAAAUAAGAAAAUAAUUUUGAAAAGCUGUUGCUAAUAAAUAAGUUUGAAUAAUGAAUAAAUAGUAUAAAUAUAUAACAUUUACACACUUAACGAGUAACUAUCAUAUAUUACCAAAUAAAUAAGCAGUUGUAUUAAUGGUAAAUGUAAUAAAGAAAUAAUAUUUAUAUUCAUUUUCAAUAAAAAAAUUAUUUGCGUUAAAUAAUUUGACACAAGAAUGUUUGUGGUUCAGUUAUCUUUUUAAGGAAUAUAGCAUUUGUUAGGAGACCUCGCUCUUCCAUAACGAGACGUAAAAAUAUAUAUUUUUUAAUCCAUUGUACUACGUUAAUGCAAUACAAGUGUUGAGUACUACGUUAAUGCAAAUAUUCAAAUCUCAAAAUGAAAUGGUGUAUGUGUGCAUGUGUUCGAGUGUGUGUGUAUCAAUGAGUAUGUUGUAGAAGUGUCUCAUUAUCACAGUAAGUGAGUGUUUUUAUCCACUUUGUUAUUGAGUUUUUUUAUCAUACUAAUUUUUAAGGUAAAUAAAAAUCUAUCUAUAUCCCUAUAUUAUUAUGUAGGUAUUUAUGAAAUCACCAAUUGUUUUAGUUCCAAAUUUAUAUUUAUGCAUUGAUUGACGUUUUAGUUUGAAGG